UCUAGACAGCUAUUACCAUUUAGCUCUGCUUUUCAAAUGAAAGGUAUUUGAAAUAUAAGGAUAGAGGACAAAAGUAACACCUACUAGACUAUACUUCUAACUUCAAAACUUUGUCAGUGAUCAAAGGGAAGGAAGUGAUUCAUACCUUCAUAGCAUUAUGAUCAUGGCAAUCUGUUCCUCCUCAUUCUGUUUCCAGACUUCAUUCAGGGAUGUGACACCUUCUGCUCCUCUAUCCAUGAUCUCCCACAAGCUUGGGUUCCCACACAACAGAAAUAAAUCAUCUUCAUGUAACUGGCUUCUGACAGGACACUGACAAUGUUUAAGAAGGAUCUCCAGGUCGGAGCAUUACUAUUUAUCAUUGUCUCUUGCCUUGAUGACUGAUACAGCUGAUUAGUUGAAUGGAUGGCAUAACUAUUCAAAGCACCAGGAAUAAUAAGAGUUACCAUUAUGACAAAAGAAUUUGUCAUCGGUUCUUUGCCAUAACACCAUCUGCAGAGAACGCGUCACUUCAGAAACCUCGGCAUGUAAAAUGGAGCUCAUCAAGGGUUACACAAUAAAAUAUAUAUAUAUAAAAUGAAC